AUUUAAGUAGCUUAAAUUUAGAGCAUAACACUGAAGAUGUUAGGGUAAUUAUUUUAAUUCUUAGAUA
rnacentral:tRNA from 1 species